CCCACAAAGAAACUCAACACAACUACAAAGAGACACAAAAUGACCACAAAGAGGUACAGAACAGCAACAGAGACUCAACACAACUAAAAAAAGAGACACAAAAUGACUACAAAGAGACAAAAAAACAUGAAGUUACACCAGACCACAGAAAACACAAAACAAUUACAAAUAUGCAUAAAGAGCAACAAAGACACACAAAAUAAUCAUAAAAAGUUACAAAACGACCACAAAGAGACACAAAACAACCACAGAGAAACAAAACCACAAAGAGACGCAAAACAGCCACAAAAAGACUCAAAACAACCACAAAGAGACGCAAAAUGGCCACAAAAAGACUCAAAACAACCACAAAGAGACGCAAAACAGCCACAAAAAGACUCAAAACAACCACAAAGAGACGCAAAACAGCCACAAAAAGACUCAAAACAACCACAAAGAGACGCAAAACAGCCACAAAAAGACUCAAAACAACCACAAAGAGACGCAAAACAACCACAAAGAGACGCAAAACAGCCACAAAAAGACUCAAAACAACUAGACACAAAACAACUAGAGAGACACCAAACGGCCACGAGAUGUAAAACAGCCACAAAGAGGUGUGUGUGUUUCAGUAACCAGGUGUGUUUGUUUCAGUGACCAGGUGUGUUUCAGUAACCAGGUGUGUUUCAGUAACCAGGUGUGUUUCAGUAACCAGGUGUGUUUGUUUCAGUGACCAGGUGUGUUUGUUUCAGUGACCAGGUGUGUUUGUUUCAGUGACCAGGUGUGUGUUUUUCAGUGACCAGGUGUGUUUGUUUCAGUGACCAGGUGUGUUUGUUUCAGUGACCAGGUGUGUUUGUUUCAGUGACCAGGUGUGUUUCAGUGACCAGGUGUGUUUGUUUCAGUGACCAGGUGUGUUUCAGUGACCAGGUGUGUUUGUUUCAGUGACCAGGUGUGUUUGUUUCAGUGACCAGGUGUGUUUCAGUGACCAGGUGUGUUUCAGUGACCAGGUGUGUUUGUUUCAGUGACCAGGUGUGUUUGUUUCAGUGACCAGGUGUGUUUCAGUAACCAGGUGUGUUUCAGUAACCAGGUGUGUUUGUUUCAGUGAUCAGGUGUGUUUCAGUGACCAGGUGUGUUUCAGUGACCAGGUGUGUUUCAGUAACCAGGUGUGUUUGUUUCAGUGAUCAGGUGUGUUUCAGUGACCAGGUGUGUUUCAGUGACCAGGUGUGUUUCAGUAACCAGGUGUGUUUGUUUCAGUGAUCAGGUGUGUUUCAGUAACCAGGUGUGUUUGUUUCAGUGAUCAGGUGUGUUUCAGUAACCAGGUGUGUUUCAGUGACCAGGUGUGUUUGUUUCAGUAACCAGGUGUGUUUCAGUAACCAGGUGUGUUUCAGUAACCAGGUGUGUUUCAGUAACCAGGUGUGUUUGUUUCAGUAACCAGGUGUGUUUCAGUGACCAGGUGUGUUUUAGUGACCAGGUGUGUUCCGAGGCGCCUGCAUAACGGACGUUCAGAGUUUCUGGACUCAGAAGUGAUGAUGUAACGUCCUGAAAGCUGCCUCUGAUCUGCGUGUGAGAUCAUCUUUUCUUCUUCUUCAGAUCAAAGAGUUGUCGCUAUCAGCUGAUCACCUCCAGGCUUCGGCUCCGUUUCAUGUUGAGACGUUCAUCAGAGAUAAUUACAGCUGCUCCAGAACACAAUUAACCUGACGGGAGUCUGCCUGCUCAACACAAACUGUAGGAAAAUAGAUCCAAACCGGUCUGCUGUCGUCUCGUUAAAACGAGUUGAUCUGCUGUAAAUAAAGUAAAAUAUUUCCUCUUUAAGGCGACUCAUCAUAUAAAUAAAUCCUGUAAAUAAUAAAACAGACGCCUGAGGGACUAAAGUCAGACAGAAAACACAAAUUUAAUGAUGCACGUGAUUUAUUAAAUGAAUCAUAAAUAGAUUUAUUGGAUUCUUCGUUCAGAUUCAAUCCUAUUUCUGAUAUUAAUUAUUCUUUUAUUUUAUCUUAAAAAGAUCAUUAUUAGACAUUAAAACCUGUUGUAAUGUUUUUUUCAUCUUUAAUUUCCAAAUAUUACAAAAAAUAAUAUUUGGACAUGUUUAUAGUCAUUUUGAAAACAUUUUUUGGUCAUUUUGAAAAUGUCUCUAGUAAUUUUCAACAUGUUUUCUGUCGUGUGCAAAAAAAACCCUGUCAUUUUGACAAUGUUUUUUAGUAAUUUCAGACCCAUGUUAGUCAUUUUUGGCAUGUUGUUUGACAUUUUGCCAUAUUUCCAGUCAUUUUUUGAUAUGUUUGUAGUCAUUUUGGAUAUGCUUAUAGUCAUUUUGAACUUGUUUAAAGUCAUUUUGAACUUGUUUAAAGUCAUUUUGGACAUAUUUAUAGUCAUUUUGGACAUAUUUAUAGUCAUUUUGGAUGUGUUUAUAGUCAUUUUGGACAUUUUUAUGACAUUUUGGACGUUGUUUAUGAUAAUUUUGGACAUGUUUAUAGUCAUUUUGGACGUGUUUAUAGUCAUUUUGGACAUGUUUAUAGUCAUUUUGGACGUGUUUAUAGUCAUUUUGGACAUGUGGUCAUCAUAUUUGGCAUGUUAUUUGUCAUUUUGGACUUUUUUUGUCAUUUUGCCAUAUUUCCAGUCAUGUUGGAUGUGUUUAUAGUCAUUUUGGACGUGUUUAUAGUCAUUUUGGACGUGUUUAUAGUCAUUUUGGACAUGUGGUCAUCAUAUUUGGCAUGUUAUUUGUCAUUUUGGACAUUUUUUUUGUCAUUUUGCCAUAUUUCCAGUCAUGUUGGACAUGUUUAUAGUCAUUUUAAACAUAUUUUUUG